ACGCUGGCGGCGUGCCUAAUACAUGCAAGUAGAACGCUGAAGGAGGAGCUUGCUCCUCCGGAUGAGUUGCGAACGGGUGAGUAACGCGUAGGUAACCUGCCUGGUAGCGGGGGAUAACUAUUGGAAACGAUAGCUAAUACCGCAUAAGAGUAGAUGUUGCAUGACAUUUGCUUAAAAGGUGCAAUUGCAUCACUACCAGAUGGACCUGCGUUGUAUUAGCUAGUUGGUGGGGUAACGGCUCACCAAGGCGACGAUACAUAGCCGACCUGAGGGGGUGAUCGGCCACACUGGGACUGAGACACGGCCCAGACUCCUACGGGAGGCAGCAGUAGGGAAUCUUCGGCAAUGGACGGAAGUCUGACCGAGCAACGCCGCGUGAGUGAAGAAGGUUUUCGGAUCGUAAAGCUCUGUUGUAAGAGAAGAACGAGUGUGAGAGUGGAAAGUUCACACUGUGACGGUAUCUUACCAGAAAGGGACGGCUAACUACGUGCCAGCAGCCGCGGUAAUACGUAGGUCCCGAGCGUUGUCCGGAUUUAUUGGGCGUAAAGCGAGCGCAGGCGGUUAGAUAAGUCUGAAGUUAAAGGCUGUGGCUUAACCAUAGUACGCUUUGGAAACUGUUUAACUUGAGUGCAAGAGGGGAGAGUGGAAUUCCAUGUGUAGCGGUGAAAUGCGUAGAUAUAUGGAGGAACACCGGUGGCGAAAGCGGCUCUCUGGCUUGUAACUGACGCUGAGGCUCGAAAGCGUGGGGAGCAAACAGGUUUAGAUACCCUGGUAGUCCACGCCGUAAACGAUGAGUGCUAGGUGUUAGACCCUUUCCGGGGUUUAGUGCCGCAGCUAACGCAUUAAGCACUCCGCCUGGGGAGUACGACCGCAAGGUUGAAACUCAAAGGAAUUGACGGGGGCCCGCACA
rnacentral:rRNA from 1 species